ensembl:lncRNA
UCUAUUUUAAAGUUUCUACAUUAUAUUUGGUAGUAGCUUGUCAGUGGUGUCUAUGUCAAGGUAAUGUCCAUAUGGCAGAAAAGUACAGUAAAAUCCAUGCAGUUAGUUAAUGACAUGUUAUCAAACAGAUGAUGAACACUUUUAAUUGCAAUGAUUAUAUGUUGCGAUUAAACUUAUAACAAAAUGUGGUAGUUUUGUAUGUUGUUUGAGGGUUGGCAUCAUCUGAGGAAGAUGAAGAAUCAGUUGUCUUUGCUCCAGCGGUGUGUGAAGGUGAGGCAGAGCUCUCUUGUUGCCGCUGGUUAUGGCUCCAGUGUAAAUGCACACAUGUUAACAGGAACAGAAAGAAUGGCACGACUGUUCAGAAGCAAAUGUAAGUGUUAGCGUGGCGCUGUGACCCGGAGGGCAAUUAUUCCUCUGUGUGUCUAAUGGAGGCCGAACACUGAUGGCGCAGAGGAGGGGACGCCUGCCAAUCACAACACGGACAAAUAGCACUAAGAGCUGCCCAUUUGCACGCGGCCCUGGAUGAAGCUUGUCAUGGUGUCAUUUCCUUUUCAAUGAGGACGGCGGUCUGAGGCGGCAGGCCUGUGUUUUUCUCGCAACGUCUCUCUCUCUCUACUUUUAGGCAUGCCGUUCCCUUCAUUUCUCCCUCAAAGAAAAAAAAGGCAUCCAUGUGAAGUCAAGCGGAAAAGUGCCACUGAUGGAGAGAAAUGCAAAUUGCUGCACUUAAAAAAGGCCAGCGCUGGAGUUUGAUGGGGAGCGUUUCCCGUACAGCCAUCCGAUUAUAUUUCCGGCGUUGUUUUGGAGGAACGUGUGGUGAUUUACAUCAGAUGUCAUGCGUGUGUCAGGAUCAGCAGCCCAUGGAAUGCAUGUUGUUUGAAGACGGUUUGAUGAGGUUCUUCUUACCUGUGCUGAAACCCUCCAACACUGUUCUCCGGCCGGAAGUGACGAUCUGACUAGUUAUCAUGAAAACAGAGAAGCAGGAUUUCUUUUAGAAUCAGCAAAUGCAGUGUAAGCAGCUUACAGCGUCAUCAUUUGCUUGGCUUGUUAUUUAGGUUAGUAUUUGUUUAUGCGGAUAUUUAAUCCAGGAGAAGUAAACUUAUUUGGACGCUUAACGGAUUAAUAAUAGGCUUCUGCGCAGUCACACUGAAAACGUGUAUUCUGUUUUUCCAUCUGUUUCAGUGACAGUUCGGCUCAUAUCAGCACAGGCUGCAGUCGUCGGAGGUGAAGCUCGCGGUGUUUUGCUGUGCUUCACAAUGAGCUUUGUUUCUGUGCGCCGCUGAUACGGCCGAGUCGGAAGCACACGCUCGGCCCAGACUACACAGCCCUAUCACAUCCAGCUCUUAUCGCAGCUAAUUCCUUUAAGGUUCCAUAACAGCAAUUAGCAUUUUCUUCCUCUUCUGUGAAAUUCACAAAGAAAUGACGCUGUAUCAUCUCAAUCAAAGCCUGUUGUGUCUCAUCUGAGAGCACCACAUGAUGCUAAUGGGUUAAUUCUGUAAACUGCUUUUCCUCGCAGUGUGUUUAAGGAGAGAAAGCCGAGCGUCCGGGCCAAAGAAAAUAACACUAGCAGCUGUGCUGGUUCUUAACAGACUCUUAUAAUCAGUGAGAAAUGCUCCUCAGACUUUGUAGAGUCCAUCACACUGAACCGCCAGCGAAACCACGUGAAAAGAUACAAUACAGUUCCUUCAAAAACAAGCACAACAGCAACAACCCUGUUCAUUUUCUCCAUUCUCCAAAGUGAUUUUCGGUAUUUAAAAAAAACAUUUUAGCGAGUUCAGAGAGUGACUUAUGGCUUCUAGAGUAUCAUAUAUCAUCCCUCAGUUGCGUGAUUAAUAAUGAUAAUAAUUGCAUUGCUGAACUGCUAGUGAAGAACUACACUACCCACAAUCCACCGAUAGUAGUAGAGAUCCACCAGCACACACCAGUGAAACAGCAGAAGAGCUCCGAGCUCAGCAGUGGUUUCUGUAGGUCAGUAGUUUAAUGUUGUACUGUUGUUUCAGAUUCAGUGCUGUUCCAUCACAUUCAUUAAAGAAGUCGGAUCACAGAAAUUGAUUGUGCUGUGGUUCGCUUCACAGCUAGUUUGUUUGGCCUUUACUGUAAAAUCUUUCUUUCUGAUAAAUCCUAUGGAGAAAAGAAAGUAGGUGGAGGCGAGCGUUCACUGCUGCGUCUGUUAUCACCUCUGACACUCCUUUCAUUGUUUUUCAAAUCAGCAGCCUAUUUGAUGAGAUAAAAUAAGGCAUUUCCUCUCAGUUACAGGUAACUUUUCUCCAUGUUCACAGACUAGAGACUGAAUAUCACACUUUUCUCAUUGUUCUGACUAUGUAAAACUUUAGGACUAGACUAAAGCCAAUAUCCUGAAAACUGUUACUGUUUAGCUAAGAUUAUCAGCAAAGGAUUUUAUAAGAGUUUUAUAAGACUUUGAAUUUCUCUAAUGUUUAGAUUAAUAAACAAGAAUGAUCAUGAACCGUGUUCA